rnacentral:misc_RNA from 1 species
AUCUACUCUCAGUUUCUUGCAGCUCUUCUAAGCUUCUUCCAUAACCGGUUAUUUGAAGCAAUAUUCGAUUCCCACUAGUUGCCUUUUCAGAGAGAGAUUGAAUUAGAGAAGGCCACUGAAAGCCAUAUGAGACAUCGAAAUCGAUAACGUGCAAUGCUCGGUUAUUGCUUUCUUCUUCCUUCUCGAAUGCUUCGAGUAUAGCCUGGUUUGCGGUGAAAUGAGCUAGCUGACAGUAAGGAG